AACUGUGCAAACUUCUUAUCAUCUGCCAGCACUUUGUGUUCUUUCAGGAUAUGAUAAGAGGUAGCAGCACAUUGAGAGAAACAUCUUCAAGGUGAUUCUGCCCAGCAACUUGUGACUGAUUUUUGUGCAAACCCAAUGAAAUAUUAUCACGCCCUUUGUAAUACGAUCACGCCUAUGCUUUCAAUAAAACAGCUGAGCAACAGAGGAGACUUUGAAGAUGAUCGACCACGCUUUGUGGUGAACAUUGGAUCAGUCUUCCCUUUUGCAAAAGCGAGCUAAUAGCUGAAAAAGUUGUCCGUGUGUUCCUUGACUCUGCUGUGACGAUUCUUGGACCUGACAUUUCUUGGUGCCGUGACCCGGAUCCCAACAUACCCAUUUCCUGACUUGAGGAGGAGACCAGCUGAAGCCCGUCGACGGCCAGCCUGCAUAGGACAGAGCUGAAUCAAAGCCCUGGGAGGUGAUGUUCCCCGCCAGGCCGGCAAUUAGGAGUCUCCUCCACUCGACAGGACUGGAUUGACGGGAUCCGAAGCGUCCACAGGAGUCAACGAAACCGGACGGGAAAUACUCAAAGCCUGGAAGACCGUGAAGCCGGGAGAUUGGGUGUUCGUUAAGGUCAUCAAAAGGAAGUGUUGGUCCAGCCCAAGGUGGGACAGGCCAUACCAGGUGCUCCUGACAACACCCACCGCAGUAAAGAUCGCUGGAAGACCCAGUUGGAUUCACCUCAGCCACUGUAAGCUGCAGAGAGUGCUGGAGCCUCCGGACGAGUAGGGGGAAAGUCAACCUACAAAGGGGGGUUACUUUAUAGUGGUGAUUCGUCUCAAUGGUUGUGAAGAAAACAACAGAUCCCUACUCAAUUAGACGGAGCGCUUCUGGUGGCUCUGCAGUGUAGCAGCAAUGUCCCCGGCAACUGAGACGGACCAGCGGAGGCGCUGUCGUCGUCAGUGUGCUGAAGGAUGCCGUGCUGUAGCUGUCGUGAUCAUUUUCCUAUUUGGAGGAACAGUUUGGUGGCUCCUACAAGAUGUAAAAUGAUCAGUUGAAAAGAGAGCCAAUCCAGUCAUUCCCCAUUCUUAUGCAGUAAAUGAAUGGUGGAAGUAUGCAAAUUACACUGCAAAGAAUCAGAACAUGUCUAACUGCUAUGUGUGUACCCAUCUACCUAGCUCCGGAGUGAAUGCAGGAUUUUGGCCAUACAACGUGUCCAGCAACAAGACCCUCUGCCUCAUGGGACUGAGCACGCACCCUGGAAACACCAGCCUAUCUCAAGCUAACUACAGUGUACCGAUGAACCAUGCCCAAGUCCAGCAGGGUAAGGUACUAACUGGUUUCAACUGUUCUGCUGUAAGAGAUGUCCUCGACUGGCCACAGACAGAAAACCCUUAAUCGGUGCCAGGUGUGGUCUACAUUCAUCACCUGGACAAAGGAAGUUUCCCUUGGUGUGUGGUCGGAAAUGGAAGUGAAGAACUAGGUAUCACACCCUCACAUCUGUGCAAUCAGAUUGUUUCAUUCUGUCCUAUGACUAAUUACACUGCCUGCAACAAAUGUGUGAUGGCUGCUAAACUGUUUAACAAAUUCUACCUGCCUGUUCAAUGCCUGUUGGAAGAAUCAGACAGCAGGACAAUGUUAGUUGAAACAGACAGACAAGAUCACCCACCCUGAUGGUGGAGCCAUAUACCGGGCUCUACAGAAUCUCACUGCCCUACAAAGGUAUGUUGAGGAUCACACCCCGGGAGCCUCGACCACGGGACUGUUGGACUGGUUGACACAGGGCUCCUGGUGGCAAGUAUUAUUGAAAACUGUUACACCCCUUCUGAUCAUUUUGGCAUUAUUUUUUGUACUGUUUAUGUGUGUUUUACCAUGUCUUCGCAGUAUGGUUAUGCGCACUGUGAGUGCUUCUUUCCUUCAAUAUCAGAUGCUGGUACAGAAUCACAGCUAUGUUCCACUGAAUGUUAACAAUGUUGACAAGUAUGAUGACCUGAUCCUUAUGAUGAGGAUACUGUGUAAAAGAGACAUGCAUAAUGAUGUUCAUGUUGAAAAUGUGAAGAGCAAGUAACAUGGUACUGAUGAAAAUGCUGUCAAAUGAUAAACAGGAGGGAAAUGUGAGAACUGUGCAAACUUCUUAUCAUCUGCCAGCACUUUGUGUUCUUUCAGGAUAUGAUAAGAGGUAGCAGCACAUUGAGAGAAACAUCUUCAAGGUGAUUCUGCCCAGCAACUUGUGACUGAUUUUUGUGCAAACCCAAUGAAAUAUUAUCACGCCCUUUGUAAUACGAUCACGCCUAUGCUUUCAAUAAAACAGCUGAGCAACAGAGGAGACUUUGAAGAUGAUCGACCACGCUUUGUGGUGAACAUUGGAUCAGUCUUCCCUUUUGCAAAAGCGAGCUAAUAGCUGAAAAA